AGCGAACGCUGGCGGCAGGCCUAACACAUGCAAGUCGAACGAAGUCUUCGGACUUAGUGGCGGACGGGUGAGUAACACGUGGGAACGUACCUUUUGGUUCGGAACAACUCAGGGAAACUUGAGCUAAUACAGGAUAAGCCCUUCGUGGGAAAGGUUUAUCGCCAUUAGAGCGGCCCGCGUUAGAUUAGCUAGUUGGUGAGGUAAAGGCUCACCAAGGCUACGAUCUAUAGCUGGUCUGAGAGGAUGAUCAGCCACACUGGGACUGAGACACGGCCCAGACUCCUACGGGAGGCAGCAGUGGGGAAUCUUGCGCAAUGGGCGAAAGCCUGACGCAGCCAUGCCGCGUGAAUGGUGAAGGUCUUAGGAUUGUAAAAUUCUUUUACCAGGGACGAUAAUGACGGUACCUGGAGAAAAAGCCCCGGCUAACUUCGUGCCAGCAGCCGCAGUAA
rnacentral:rRNA from 1 species